rnacentral:rRNA from 1 species
GUCCCAGCUGUAAACGGUGGGCACUAGGUGUGGGGGGCAUCGACCCCUCCCGUGCCGCAGCUAACGCAUUAAGUGCCCCGCCUUGGGAGUACGACCGCAAGGUUGAAACUCAAAGGAAUUGACGGGGGCCCGCACAAGCGGUGGAGCAUGUGGUUUAAUUCGAUGCAACGCGAAGAACCUUACCCAGGCUUGACAUGCACCGGAUUGGUGUGGAAACACACCUUCCUUUCGGGGCCGGUGCACAGGUGCUGCAUGGCUGUCGU